UUUCCAAAUCGGAAUGAGACGCAUCUCGUGUUACAAGUGUUACGCGUCUCACGCGGAUUAGUCGAGGAGAAAAAAAAAAUUGGGACCAGAAAGAGCCGGUAGAGUUUGAAAGGAGUGACCGUCUUCAUGCUCGAUGUGACGCUCAUCUCAACUUAUAAAGUAAAAGACAGCGGAGAUGACAGCAAAGAAAGGACGGGAAAAAAAAGGAAAAACGAUGAAAACGGAAGUCGUGUCGAGAGCGUGUCCGGUCGUCUCCGGGAGCUCAACAUCCUCCCCUCUCAACCAUCUCUGGCAGGAGCAGCAGAAAGUCCAGGGGGGAUGUAAGGAAAUGGGGGACGGAAUACGAACGGAACAGAGAAGCGACGCAGCCGGUUUGAAAAACUUGGGUCAGAGAAGAAAACAAAACGGAAGAAAAAUCUUCACCAUACCCCGCCGCGUGACUGUUGCUCUGCCUCCUGAGCUCCCGAAACGAGAAUUUUAAAUGGACUCUUUCAUCUUAAGAGAUAACCAAGUGCCAAGGAAGCACGGCCCGUUUGGUUCCAACCGAACGCGAGGAGGAGAGGAACGUACCAAAAUUUUUUUUUUUUUUCGAACAAAAUCAAAUUCAACUAAAUAACACGUUCGCAAUGCUUCACAUUCAAAUAGUUCCAUCACGAUUACAAGA